rnacentral:sRNA from 1 species
CAAAUUGAAUGGAAACUUUUCCUCUUUUCGAAGCCAAGUGGAGAGGCAAUUAUUUUUGGGUUAUUAUUUACAUGGCUUAUGUGUCUAGGCUCUGCGUUUCUCUUGUUUUGGAGGGUGGUAGGGUGUACUUAUAGUUUUUAAACAUUCCGACCUCUGACUUAUGCUUAUUAAUUGUUGUGUGUGUUUUCCCCCUUUUUCCCUUUAGUUUCGCUGUUGGGCUCUUUUUAAUUUUAAUUAAAUUUAAUUUAUGGAUUACUUUUCCCUAUUUUUAUGCUCCUCCAACGAUCCACAACAAUCCGUUACGCCUUGUUACGUAUUCAAUUUAUGCUAUAUCUUUUGUUUUUGUUGUUGUUUUUUUUUGUAUUUUUUUUGUUACAUUCAUUAUUUUAACAUCUCGCCUUUCCGCUCACCUGAUCUUCUGAAAAGUGUAGCCUUUCUUUGCAACUUUCACUUAUGAAUGUAUUUAUAUUAUAUUUCGUUAUUAUCGGAAUGUUGCAUGUAGCGUGGCGCAACUGAAUGAAUGCAUUGAAAAUAUACCUCCAUUUUAACUACGAACCGAUGCGAUGUGCGGCGCGACCCCUGUUUCAUGGCAAAUAAAAAACAAUAUUAAA